rnacentral:rRNA from 1 species
UACGUAGGGUGCGAGCGUUGUCCGGAAUUAUUGGGCGUAAAGAGCUCGUAGGCGGCUUGUCACGUCGGGUGUGAAAGCCCGGGGCUUAACCCCGGGUCUGCAUUCGAUACGGGCAGGCUAGAGUGUGGUAGGGGAGAUCCGAAUUCCUGGUGUAGCGGUGAAAUGCGCAGAUAUCAGGAGGAACACCCGUAGCGAAGGCGGCACUCUGGGCCGAUACUGACACUGAGGAGCGAAAGCGUGGGGAGCGAACAGG